CUAACAUUAAUUUAGAUUUAAUAAAUUACGCGCAUUCAUGAAUGACCAUAUGAAUACACGCUCUCCAGAUUGGUUAGACAAAAUCGCUUUAGUAUUCACCGGAAAAUAUAAAUCUUUAAAAUCAGUGCCCUUGAAGGUGGGUGCUGAAACCUUAGACAAGGCAAAAAGUAAACUUCGGAUAUAUACAAAUGUUACCUUAUUAGUUGCUACUGGGAUAACAUUAUUUACCUUACUUUAUUCUUCCAAACAAAGAUAUAGAAGCCAAGAUCCAAAAUAAUUUUUAAUUAAAAAAAAAUACAAUUAUGAUUUCACAUGAUUUUUUAUUUGAUAAAUGCAUCAUAUAUCAGAUUUAUGUCAUAAUUAUUUGAUAUCAAAAUGAAUUGCUUUAUUUCUGGUUGACUUUCAAAUUAGAUUUGCAUUUUUCAC